rnacentral:rRNA from 1 species
UAGGGAAUCUUCCACAAUGGACGCAAGUCUGAUGGAGCAACGCCGCGUGAGUGAAGAAGGUUUUCGGACCGUAAAGCUCUGUUGUUGGUGAAGAAGGAUAGAGGUAGUAACUGGCCUUUAUUUGACGGUAAUCAACCAGAAAGUCACGGCUAACUACGUGCCAGCAGCCGCGGUAAUACGUAGGUGGCAAGCGUUGUCCUGAUUUAUUGGGCGUAAAGCGAGCGCAGGCGGAAGAAUAAGUCUGAUGUGAAAGCCCUCGGCUUAACCGAGGAAUUGCAUCGGAAACUGUUUUCUUGAGUGCAGGAGAGGAGAGUAGAACUCCAUGUGUAGCGGUGGAAUGCGUAGAUAUAUGGAAGAAUACCAGUGGCGAAGGCGGCUCUCUGGUCUGCAACUGACGCUGAGGCUCGAAAGCAUGGGUAGCGAACAGG